GUGUGCAAUUAAAUACAAUAUCCCUUGGAAUCUACAUGAAUCUAUACACUAUUUCCCCUCCUUCACUAACUAACUUCCUAUUUUGAUGUUCAACAAUAGUUCAAUGAAGACCAUUCAAGUCAAACUCAC